CAGUAGCCGCGGUAAUACGAAGGGUGCAAGCGUUACUCGGAAUUACUGGGCGUAAAGAGCUCGUAGGCGGUUUGUCGCGUCGUCUGUGAAAUUCUGCAGCUUAACUGUAGGCGUGCAGGCGAUACGGGCAGACUUGUGUACUACAGGGGAGACUGGAAUUCCUGGUGUAGCGGUGAAAUGCGCAGAUAUCAGGAGGAACACCGGUGGCGAAGGCGGGUCUCUGGGUAGUAACUGACGCUGAGGAGCGAAAGCGUGGGUAGCGAACAGGAUUAGAUACCCGAGUAGUCCCUGUCUCUUAUAA
rnacentral:rRNA from 1 species